rnacentral:rRNA from 1 species
UACGAAGGGUGCAGGCGUUACUCGGAAUUACUGGGCGUAAAGCGUGCGUAGGUGGUUCGUUAAGUCUGUCGUGAAAGCCCCGGGCUCAACCUGGGAAUGGCGAUGGAUACUGGCGGGCUAGAGUGCGGUAGAGGGUGGUGGAAUUCCCGGUGUAGCAGUGAAAUGCGUAGAGAUCGGGAGGAACAUCAGUUGCGAAGGCGGCCACCUGGACCAGCACUGACACUGAGGCACGAAAGCGUGGGGAGCAAACAGG